rnacentral:rRNA from 1 species
UACGUAGGGGGCAAGCGUUGUCCGGAAUUAUUGGGCGUAAAGAGCGCGUAGGCGGUCCGAUAAGUCGGCUGUGAAAGUCAGGGGCUCAACCCUUGGAAGCCGGCCGAUACUGUCGGACUAGAGUCCGGAAGAGGCGAGUGGAAUUCCCGGUGUAGCAGUGAAAUGCGCAGAUAUCGGGAGGAACACCGAUGGCGAAGGCAGCCUCCUGGGCCAACACUGACGCUCAUGCACGAAAGCGUGGGGAGCAAACAGG